rnacentral:rRNA from 1 species
AACACUCCUUCCCAUACCGAACAGGAAAGUUAAGCUCUAUAGCGCCGAUGGUACUGCAUGGGAGACUGUGUGGGAGAGUAGGACGUUGCCAGGU